ACAGGAAGAUGAAAACUAUUAAAUGCAAGAAAACCCAUCUGAGCGAGUGAGCUCCGUCUCUGUGCCCGUGUCCAGAGAGGCCAACCUGUGCCACCGACAUGGGCCCAGGCAGUGCCUUUUGCUCUGCUCUGUGCAGAAUGGAAGGCAGAGACCGGAUUCGUUCCUGCACCGGCCUGAGCCCAAUUUAGCUUUAAGGGCCGCUGCCCUGCUUCAUAGUUUACGGUCCCUUUUUAAUCAGACAGAUGACGGGCGGCGGCGCUGGGUAUUUGCAGCAAGUGAGACGCAGUUAGAAACCCUGCGCUAUUCCUGGCUGCCACUUGUCUUGCUGAGUGAGGUCGGCUGGUUGCCUGACCUCGCAUGCCUGCGUUUCCUGAUCGACAAGCCAGGACACGCACACCUCGCUCACCCUCCCAUCCAGCAAUGCACGGCAGCUGCGAACCCUGCCCGCAGGGCUGCCCGAGGGCGACCGUACUGGAUCAGGGCUUUGGCAAGAGACCGGAGACACCCCUCCUUCCAUACGGCGACCAGACGACUGGCCUGAUUAUCAGGACCAUUAGACCCUCACUGAAUGCACACUGGUGCCGGCCAGCCAGCCAAACAAGAGGAUUUCCAUGCAGUUUCCACAGCUGUAUCGAGCCAGCGCUCGCACACCGAACAGCUCACCCAUUUAAAAUGCACUGUCCGUUGGGGUGUAGCAUAUACACAGUUGCGUGGCCAGUACCCCAGUCAAUUCUGGAAUGUUUGCAUCACCUCAAAGGGGAACCCUGCACCCACCAGGUAUCAUCAUCCCCAAAGCCCCAGCCCUAAGCCACUGUCAAUCUCCCUCCUGUCUCCGUCCAUGGCCCUACCCGGGACAGUCUGUGGGAAUGGAGUCUGUGCCUGGCGCCUGUCCCUCAGCUCAGUGUUUUCAGGGCUUCCCCUCUGCCGUGGCGCACAGCGGCACCUCGUCUUUGACACGUGUACGUACUUCCGACCAUCUCCUCUACGGGGCCCUUUGACCGGCGCAGGAGAAGCCGCGGCUCGGAGCUUACCGCCCCCGGCAGGCAGUGGUCUGUGACCAUGAGUCUGCGGGGGACUGACUGCUCUGGAGGGUCGGAAGUGGGUCCCGGAGGAUGGCUGGCUUCUGGGGACACACCCAGCUGUGCGUGGGCUCGGCCUCUCCCACCAGGUGCUUAAGGCUCAGUGAACGUUUAUCUCAAUCUCUACUGUUGGAAACAAUCCGGAAGAGCUUAGAGGUGCGGUCCCCGAGUCACUGCUAUCUCCACCGCCGGCCACCUUGGCUUGACGGUCACUCUGAACAUCAGCAGCGUUCUUAACUGGUCUAUUAUUUAUCAUGACUUGUGACAAGACACUGGCAGAAUUGACCUUGGUAACCAUGUUUCAGCGUGCAACGCUGUGCCGUUCACACCCGGUGGGCCACCGUCCUCCCCCUCUGUCUCUGGAACUUUGUCCUCUCGUACAACGGGAACACUCACCGCACAGCCGCUUUCCUCUCCCAGCACCCCGAUGGACGCCUUUCUACUUUGUCCCUCUGGAUCUGACGACUCCAGGCGCCUCCUAUCAGUGGACUCGCAACUUGUCUUGUGACUGCUUUACUUCCCCGCACGUCAGGUCCUCAAGGGUCCCCCAGUGUGCCGUGUGUCACAGUGUGCUUCCUUUCCAAGGCCGGCUACGACUCUCAAGGCAUGUCCGUCUGAGGCCGUGGGUCUCGACGCCCCAGAGGCCUCAUACAGCCUGGUCCCUGCUGCUCACGGCGAGUCCCCGUAGGCCAGCCAGUUACAGAGCUGCGUGAGAGAGAACAUGUGUGGGUCAUUUGGGAAGACUUCCCUCCCUACUGGUUAAAAUAAUAAAAUUCCAAGUGCUUAAAGAGA